GAUAGCCCAAUGCCCAUUGUUGGAAAUAAUUGAGACUGUGGCAGCAAGAAUUAGUCUGCAAGAAAUUUUUAUACCAAAAGAAAUCCAGAAUUUGCAGAAUCAGCAAAAAAGAGUAAAUGUAGCAUAUUCUGGGAAAUAUAUUAAUCCUGCCAAAAGAGCAAUAAAGAAUCAAGAAGACAUUAUGGAUAACACAUUGGAAAAUAAUACCAAUAGUGAUGUGUAUGUCUCUACUGAAGCAGAAAUGGCAUACCAGUUUCCAGUAACAACAAAAAGUGGACGAAAGGCUACAAGAUUUGUAACAUGCACUUAGGAAGAAUGUAUCAAUAUUAUUACUGCAUAUAUAUUUGUAUACCCCUGAUCUAGGUAGUGAUAAAGGACAAUGCUCAUAUAAUGUAGAGGUCUUUAUUUGUUUUUGAAAGUUUAGAAUGAAUUUUGUAUAAAAAUAAAAAAUUAAUAGACAAAUAAUAAAUAUUCAUGAAAUUUUGAAAAAAUUGAAAUAAAACUGUUUGUUGUAAAAUAUAACUAUAUGUUUUAGAAACAGAUGUUUGAUAAUAACAUUAAAAAUGAAGGAAUAUUUGGCCAUAAAAAUUAUAUAAUAAUGCAUUUACUUCUUUUGAGAAAAUAUUUUUUCUACUAGAUUUAUAGAAAAAUAUGCAUGGGUCAACUUCCUCAUACAGAAGCAGGGUUCACGUUAUUGAGACAGAUUUUUGUGAUUAUAAGUAUUGUGUACAAGUUUCAUAACAUUCGAUUAAGGAAACUAAAUUAGAGAACAGAAAUAACAGAUUUAGCAAUUUUUCCAUUUAUAAAGGGCAUAACUCAAGAACAGUAAAAGUAACACCACCCAAUUCCUGUGAAUUGUUGUAACAAGCAUUGUGUAUAA